AGAGCGAACGUUAGCGGCGGGCCUAACACAUGCAAGUCGCACGAGAAAGAGGGCUUCGGCCCUUUAGUAAAGUGGCGGACGGGUGAGUAACACGUGGGUAAUCUGCCUUUUUAGUGGGGGAUAACUGUCCGAAAGGAUAGCUAAUACCGCAUACGUCAGCGAGGUUUGCGAACCUUGUUGGGAAAGCCGGCCACUCCAUGGAAGCUGGCGCUGAAAGAGGAGCCCGCGGCCCAUCAGCUAGUUGGUAGGGUAAUGGCCUACCAAGGCAUAGACGGGUAGCUGGUCUGAGAGGAUGAUCAGCCACACUGGGACUGAGACACGGCCAGACUCCGUACGGGAGGCAGCAGUGGGAAUAGUUGGGCAAGUGGGCGCAAGCCUCGACCAGCCACGCCGCGUGAGUGAUGAAGGUCGUUUACGGGUCGUAAACGGCUCGUGGUAGGGAAGGAACGAAAAA
rnacentral:rRNA from 1 species